rnacentral:rRNA from 1 species
UACGUAGGGUGCAAGCGUUAAUCGGAAUUACUGGGCGUAAAGCGCGCGUAGGUGGUUUGUUAAGUUGGAUGUGAAAUCCCCGGGCUCAACCUGGGAACUGCACUCAAAACUGUCGAGCUAGAGUAUGGUAGAGGGUGGUGGAAUUUCCUGUGUAGCGGUGAAAUGCGUAGAUAUAGGAAGGAACACCAGUGGCGAAGGCGACCACUUGGACUGAUACUGACACUGAGGUGCGAAAGCGUGGGGAGCAAACAGG